AACGAACGCUGGCGGCAUGCCUAACACAUGCAAGUCUAACGAGACCUUCGGGUCUAGUGGCGCACGGGUGCGUAACGCGUGGGAACCUGCCCUUAGGUUCGGAAUAACUCCCCGAAAGGGGUGCUAAUACCGGAUAAUGUCUUCGGACCAAAGAUUUAUCGCCUUUGGAUGGGCCCGCGUUGGAUUAGCUAGUUGGUAGGGUAAAAGCCUACCAAGGCGACGAUCCAUAGCUGGUCUGAGAGGAUGAUCAGCCACACUGGGACUGAGACACGGCCCAGACUCCUACGGGAGGCAGCAGUGGGGAAUAUUGGACAAUGGGCGAAAGCCUGAUCCAGCAAUGCCGCGUGAGUGAUGAAGGCCUUAGGGUUGUAAAGCUCUUUUACCCGGGAUGAUAAUGACAGUACCGGGAGAAUAAGCUCCGGCUAACUCCGUG
rnacentral:rRNA from 1 species